AUUCCAGCUCCAAUAGCGUAUAUUAAAGUUGUUGCAGUUAAAAAGCUCGUAGUUGGAUUUCGGAACCGGCCGAUUGGUCCGUCCUCUGGAUCGUGUACUGAUCGGUCUGUUCUUCUUCGCGAAGACCGCGUGUGCCCUUAACUGGGUGGGCGCGGGAUUCGCGACGUUUACUUUGAAAAAAUUAGAGUGUUCAAAGCAGGCAGUCGCUUGAAUAUCUCAGCAUGGAAUAAUAGAAUAGGACUUUGGUCUUAUUUUGUUGGUUUCCGAGACCGAAGUAAUGAUUAACAGGGACAGUUGGGGGCAUUCGUAUUUCAUUGUCAGAGGUGAAAUUCUUGGAUUUAUGAAAGACGAACUUCUGCGAAAGCAUUUGCCAAGGAUGUUUUCAUUA
rnacentral:rRNA from 1 species